CUGAAGUGAUGUGUAACUGAUCAG
rnacentral:miRNA from 1 species